CCUUUGACUGAGUGGCGGACGGGUGAGUAACGCGUGGGUAACCUACCUCACACAGGGGGAUAACAGUUGGAAACGACCGCUAAUACCGCAUAAGCCGGAAGGAUCGCAUGAUCCGGCCGGAAAAGAUUUAUCGGUGUGAGAUGGACCCGCGUCUGAUUAGCCAGUUGGCAGGGUAACGGCCUACCAAAGCGACGAUCAGUAGCCGGCCUGAGAGGGUGAACGGCCACAUUGGGACUGAGACACGGCCCAAACUCCUACGGGAGGCAGCAG
rnacentral:rRNA from 1 species